rnacentral:tRNA from 1 species
GUUAAUGUAGCUUAACAUAAAGCGUGGCACUGAAGAUGCCAAGAUGAGCCGUAAAAGGUUCCAGUGACA